GAACGAACGGAAGCGCCAGGACUGAACCGCUUCUCACUCCGCGGCGACAGUCGACGAGGACGAAAGUGAUCGAACCAUUCGGCGGAUGCUUUCGUGGCGGGCGAAGGGGAGCCAUGAACCUCCGUCACAAAACCCCGGGGCGACCCGGGAACAAACGGCGGAGGCCCUUCAAUG
rfam:Pyramidobacter piscolens W5455 contig00008, whole genome shotgun sequence.